rnacentral:rRNA from 1 species
GAGUUUGAUCAUGGCUCAGAUUGAACGCUGGCGGCAUGCCUUACACAUGCAAGUCGAACGGCAGCACGGGAGCUUGCUCCUGGUGGCGAGUGGCGAACGGGUGAGUAAUGCAUCGGAACGUAUCCUGGAGUGGGGGGAUAACGUAGCGAAAGUUACGCUAAUACCGCAUAUUCUGUGAGCAGGAAAGCGGGGGACCUUCGGGCCUCGCGCUCUUGGGGCGGCCGAUGUCGGAUUAGCUAGUUGGUGAGGUAAAGGCUCACCAAGGCGACGAUCCGUAGCAGGUCUGAGAGGAUGAUCUGCCACACUGGAACUGAGACACGGUCCAGACUCCUACGGGAGGCAGCAGUGGGAAUUUUGGACAAUGGGGGCAACCCUGAUCCAGCCAUGCCGCGUGAGUGAAGAAGGCCUCGGUUGUAAG